GUCGUCGAGCCGUGUCGUCCCUCUUGCUCCGCAGGCCGGCGCCGUGUUCAAGUUAAGUUUGGACGAAGCUGACUCUCAAAUGUGCUGUAUCUCUUGGAACCUAUAAGCACAGAUCUACACAAGAACAUCUGCAAAUUUUAUCGGGUAUCAGGAGUCCGUUUUGCAACAGGCCGCGGUCUCCUGCAUGCUCGAAAACAGUGACUGAGUUUCCUGGUAAGCGAACGCUUUCGCCAAUCAUGUUUUCUGCGAGAACUUUGAUCCAGAAUCAGCAGCGUGCCCUGCAUGCUUUUUUUAGAUAUAGCUGUUCUACUGGAGACUGACACUUGCCGCCCUAUUUC